UGUGAAAGAUGUCACACAAAACAUAACAAAUGGAGGUGGCUCUGCUCCAGUAAAGCUUAAUUUAUGGAGACUAAAAUUUUAAUUUCAUAUAUUUUUCAUGUGGCAAGACAUAGUCUUCUUUUGAUUAUGUUUUUAAGUAAUUAAAAAAAAAGUAAAACCAUUCUUAGCUCAUAGGCUGUAUAAAAUCAGGCUGUGGGUCACACUUGACCCAUGGGCUACAAUUUACCGACCAGUAGAAUAGAUAAAUAUUUUAGCAGCAUGAAAGAGUACAUCCUGUAAAAGACUACAUGUGUAUUCUCUGUGUAAUAGAUUCAGAGAUCUUAAAUCAGAGAGAGAAGGACGCAGACAGUUGGUGUCUGUUCUGAAGCAACAAUCCACAUGGGGAUACAUUUCAGAUCAGUUAAAAGUUUAACCACAAGUACAGUUUUUAAAGUAUCAGAAGGAAAUGUAGGUGCACAAGUUUGUCUCUCCACCGUGCAGUUAGUUUUCUCCUUUGUCUUCCCUUAGCCAAUCCGCAGCAAUCCUAGGCAGAGACUUGCUUGGCCGGAGCCGAAAGGGAUUUUGUAAAUGCAGUUUACAGCAACGACAACAGAAUAUCAGAGUGUAAAGACCAGAUCAAGAGUUGAAAUACCAGGACUCUCCAGGAUCACAAACAAAUGUGGACCUUCCCAGUCAACAGAUGGAAAUGUAAGUAGCAGAAGCCAGCCCUUUGCAGUAGAGCUGUGGUAUCUCCACUCCGAAGCAGGGAUGCAGCUAAACGGGCUGUGUGCCAGGACACAGAUGCUAGGAGGGAAGCCGAAGUGGUACCGCAAGUGUGAUGCUGGACCAGCCUUUGAUACAGUGGACAUAUGACUCACUGAGAUGCUGUGCGCGUCGACUCUGCCCUGGUCCCUUCGGGUUCAAGAAUUGUGUGUGUGUAUUGGAAAGAGUGGAACGGGCAGGUGGAAUCUGCAGAGAAGUUGGGAGGAGCGGAAGAAAACCAGUUCUGAGUCCUCUCUUUUCCAAUUCUUCCUUCCAAUCUAAGCCCUCACGUUCCUCAACCUGCCCAUCACCAGAUGAAUUAUUCUAAAGGUACAUUUUCAAAGUGUGUUCUGCUGAACAUGAGUCCCAAGAGUGACUUCUUGGGAAAAAGAGAAAAAGAUGGGAGGGUUUCUAUUGGGAACUUGUGCUCAUCCUAUGCCCCUCUAGAAGAUUCACUAUGCUCAUUAACAUUUAAAAAUCCCUGAGAAGUCCUUCAGUAAAGGACUGAAGUAAAGUACAAGAGCUGUUAACAAGUAAACUGUGUAGCUCCUGUGUUCUCAGGAAUUAUUUUGAAUAAUAGUAUCACAAAUAACAGGCUUCCCAGGUGGCUCAGUGGUAAAAAGAAUCUGCCUGCCAAGCAGGAGACCUGGGUUUGAUCUCUGGGUUUGGAAGAUCUCCUGGAGAAGACAACGGUAACCCACUUCAGUAUUCUUGUCUGGGAAAUCCUGUGGACAGAGGAGCCCAGCGGACUACAGUCCAUGGGGUCGCAGAGAGUCAGACACCACUUGGCAAGUGAACAGCAGCAGCAGCACCGCCAAUGAGUGUCUUGUACGUCUGUAUCGUGAGGUCAUUGAAGAAUACCACCUAUAAGGCAGGAUUCAGCAAAAACUUUUGUCAUCAUGUUAGUAAUAUUUAAAUUCUUUUGCUUUGCACCAUUUCUAUUUUAUUUUUAUUUGAUUUUACCUUUUUAUUGUAUCUUGGUGUCUAGCUGAUUAACAGUGUUGUGAUAGUUUUAGAUGUACAGCAAAGGGUCUCAGCCAUCCAUACACACAUACACAUUCUUUCCCAAACCCCCCUUGCAUGCAGGCUGUUGGCACCAUUCUUUGAGCAGGUAGCUAUCUACCUGUAAAACCUCAGUUGUAUUUAUGUGCCACAAAUUCAUUCUGAUUUUUUGUUUGUUUUAACCGUACUUUAUUUUCUUGUGGAAAGGAAGGGACUCAUUCAUGCCAAGAGUCCAGAGAUUCUAUGUACAUGAUCUAUACCCAGCCAAUCAGAAUAUUUCAUCUUUUCAGCUGGGCAAGCCAUGGGCAUUUGGCCUAUGUCAAAUCAUCAGAAAGUCAGUUCUGGAAUUUCUUUAACUCUUGAGACAGUAUAUUUCCCUUUUUACCCUAGGGUUUCUAGUUAUAAUAAAAUUAUACGUUUGAAAUAUUGAGGUACUAUGCACCGUGAGUUUUCCUUGAGGGUGAAACCAACAGAGGAGAGAAUGGAACUUGGGAAAGGAGAAAGACAGUAGCUAUAGGCUGAUGACAUUAUUUAAGCCCCUAGAUCCAGCUGGGCCUGAAGCCUACACUUCCUAUGAAACUUUCUAUGAAACUUUCUGUUGCAGUGAGCUAAUGACUUGCUCUCAAUUCCCUUUGCUAAAGCAGGCUUACAGUGAGUUCAUCUCUCCUGCAGCCAGAGCAGUUUCUAACAUGGUGGUUCUCAAAGUGUGGUCCUCGGAGUGGCAACAUUAAUUCCCCUGGGAACUUGCUUUCAACAUACAUGUUCCUCUUUUACCUUCCACCUUUGCUUUCUUGAAACACCCAGGAGACCUCCCGACAAAACCAUCCGAAAUACAUGACCACCGUCAUAUGUUUUCGACCUCAAUAGUACCUAUCGCAACCUGCUUAUUACUUGCCUUCUGUAUUCUUUUGUCCAGGAGAGUAUGAUAUCUAGAGACAUGGAUAUUUUCUGAUUUAUCACUGAUCCUCCCACUGAACUGAGAAUGGAACCUGGAAAAUGACUGAGAAUUGCUUAAGGCUCCUGAAUUGCAUCUUCAGAGAGCCUCCUCUCCCAGGCUCCGUUUAAGAAGGCAGCCCUUCUUAAUGAGAACUGUUAGCACCCAUAAGUGUUUGUAGAGCCUGUCUCCCUGGGGUAAUUUAAGGUUAUGAAGUGCAGGCCCUUGUUAACAGCUCUUGUGAAGUAGUUGUCCUAACUUCAAACAUGGGUCACUGUAAUAAAUGGUGCCAGAGAAACACAAUUCCGGACCUUGCUAACUGUUCUCGCCUCACCGAGUUAAACAUUACGUCUGCAUAUGACCAAAGGUCGAUGGAAUGAAACAGUCCCUCAAGGAAGCUAAUAGAAAGUCAAUUACUCUGGCCCUGUAAAUUGCUUUUGGAACAGACCCUUUCUAGGUCUUGUGGGACACUUUCUUCAUUCAGCUCUGAUGGGUGGAUGGAAGGCCCUAAGGAUCAUUUGGGGGCCAGCCUCCUGCUACACCAGGAAGUUCCUCUCUUUCUAGUGCCAUAAACAACCACAUCAUCACCCCUGACUGGGCCGCCCAGGUCAACCCCUCGCUUUGAAUCAAUACCAACAGAUGACUAGUGUGUUUUGUAGGCAGGCUUCUGCUUGGCCAAAGUGGACACGAGAACUGUCCGGAGUCUACUAGAAGUGAGUAGAGCUCAUCCAUGCCUGAACAGGCUUCUCAGACAAGCCCCCUGGCCAAAGGGACUGUCCGUGUUGGGGGUAGUCAUUAGCAGGUGUCUCAGCAAUCCCUUCCUCCUACCUGUAUGGGGAAAAUUACCUUCUGUCCCCUGUUCAAUGAGAGAAUGCAAGCCCUGCAGUCAGGGCUGGUCCUGAAGUGUGAAUAGCUUCUUGUUUCCUUGAGAGCUCCAGACGCCCAUCUUUUGUAUUUGGGCAAAAUGCAGCAAAGGAAUUUGGAGACACAAUUUCAACCUCUGGCAGAGAAGCUCUCAUUACCCCAUCAGAGAAGAACGAGGGGGGCAUCCAGAGGUCAAAGGGCAGUGCGCUGUGCAUCCACUCCAGGCAACACCCAAACAGUUGUAGCAUUUAAUUAAGAAGGACCUUGCGCUCUUGGGUGGGUGGGUGUGUGCGCUGGG
ensembl:lincRNA